rnacentral:rRNA from 1 species
GACGUAGGGCGCGAGCGUUGUCCGGAUUUAUUGGGCGUAAAGAGCUCGUAGGCGGCUUGUUGCGUCGACCGUGAAAACCCGGGGCUCAACUUCGGGCUUGCGGUCGAUACGGGCGGGCUAGAGUUCGGUAGGGGAGACUGGAAUUCCUGGUGUAGCGGUGAAAUGCGCAGAUAUCAGGAGGAACACCGGUGGCGAAGGCGGGACUCUGGGCCGAUACUGACGCUGAGGAGCGAAAGCGUGGGGAGCAAACAGG